rnacentral:lncRNA from 1 species
AAAAUAAAAUAAAAUCUAAGAACAAUAUGAAAUCUAAACUAAAAGGCUGAAAGAAAUCAUAAACUAAAGCAUAUUAGGUUCAUAAGACAUAAGGAAGUAUUUAUAGACAACACAAAUUAGAAUCCUAGUAGAAUUAAAAAACUGCACAAUUUUCUUUUCUGUCCCGUACGUCAUAUCUCUAUUUUGACCACUUUUGAGAUCGAAUCAGCCAAUGCUUAUUAAAGACAAAAUUGUAGCCCUUUAAAUCUUUUUUUCAACGCGUCAAAAAUUAGCUCAAUCGGACAUCGAAAUAAAAAGUUAUGGCCAAAAUACAGAGACUGAGUUCCUACUAGCGUUCGAACGCUUGGUCCUUUGAUUUUUUGGGCGUUCGAACGGUCUUCACAAUAUUUGAACUUUUCCUCUUGGCGUUCGAACGCUUAGACAAAAUUUCAACUUUCAACCCCCGCACUUUUCGAACUGUAGGCAGAGGCGUUUGAACGCUUGUUUCCUUGCUUGGGCGUUCGAACGCUUAGUAUAAUUUUUGCCCUCUUUGCCUUUUCUCUUCUUUUCUUUCUUUUUUUUAUCAACCUUAGCCUGUAAUGGGCUCAGACACGACUAUAAGUACAUCGUACGAUAAAAUUAAAUA